GACGAACGCUGGCGGCGUGCCUAAUACAUGCAAGUCGAGCGCAGGAAAUCAUCCGAACCUUUCGGGGGGACGUUGAUGGAAUGAGCGGCGGACGGGUGAGUAACACGUAAAGAACCUGCCCUCAGGUCUGGGAUAACCACGAGAAAUCGGGGCUAAUACCGGAUGGGUCAUCGGACCGCAUGGUCCGAGGAUGAAAGGCGCUUCGGCGCCGCCUGGGGAUGGCUUUGCGGUGCAUUAGCUAGUUGGUGGGGUAAUGGCCCACCAAGGCGACGAUGCAUAGCCGACCUGAGAGGGUGAUCGGCCACACUGGGACUGAGACACGGCCCAGACUCCUACGGGAGGCAGCAGUAGGGAAUCUUCCACAAUGGACGAAAGUCUGAUGGAGCAACGCCGCGUGAACGAUGAAGGCCUUCGGGUCGUAAAGUUCUGUUGUAAGGGAAGAACAAGUGCCGCAGGCAAUGGCGGCACCUUGACGGUACCUUGCGAGAAAGCCACGGCUAACUACGUGCCAGCAGCCGCGGUAA
rnacentral:rRNA from 1 species